GACGAACGCUGGCGGCGUGCUUAACACAUGCAAGUCGAACGCUGAACCCGCUUCGGUGGGGGAUGAGUGGCGAACGGGUGAGUAGCACGUGGGCAACCUGCCCCCGGCUCUGGGAUAACUCCAAGAAAUUGGGGCUAAUACCGGAUGUGACCGCUGGCCGCAUGGUCUGGUGGUGGAAAGGGUUUCCGGCUGGGGAUGGGCCCGCGGCCUAUCAGCUUGUUGGUGGGGUAGUGGCCUACCAAGGCGACGACGGGUAGCCGGCCUGAGAGGGUGACCGGCCACACUGGGACUGAGACACGGCCCAGACUCCUACGGGAGGCAGCAGUGGGGAAUAUUGCGCAAUGGGCGGAGGCCUGACGCAGCGACGCCGCGUGGGGGAUGACGGCCUUCGGGUUGUAAACCUCUUUCAGCAGGGACGAAGCGCAAGUGACGGUACCUGCAGAAGAAGCACCGGCCAACUACGUG
rnacentral:rRNA from 1 species